rfam:Schistosoma mansoni strain Puerto Rico chromosome 4, complete genome
AUACUGCUGAGGAGUCCCAUAAUAGGACGAAACGGCCGUCCAGUGC